CAGCAGCCACGGUAAUACGGAGGGUGCAAGCGUUAAUCGGAAUUACUGGGCGUAAAGCGCACGCAGGCGGUCUGACAAGUCAGAUGUGAAAUCCCCGGGCUUAACCUGGGAACUGCAUUUGAAACUGUCAGGCUGGAGUCUUGUAGAGGGGGGUGGAAUUCCAGGUGUAGCGGUGAAAUGCGUAGAGAUCUGGAGGAAUACCGGUGGCGAAGGCGGCCCCCUGGACAAAGACUGACGCUCAGGUGCGAAAGCGUGGGGAGCAAACAGGAUUAGAUACCCGCGUAGUCCCUGUCUCUUAUAA
rnacentral:rRNA from 1 species